rnacentral:lncRNA from 1 species
UACCGGGAUCCAUACCGGACUCGAGAUGAUGAUCAGCGGAAGAAAGACAACGAAGCCUAUCCCGACGGCCGUCACGGUUAGGCCUAGGAGGAAGAGGAGGAUUCCGCCGGAUAUGAAGAGAGCGAGGAGACCAAAGAGCUGUGAGGAGGUUGGUGAAUGAGAUCGGAGAAGGCGGACAAGAGAAGCGUAAGGGCUGUUUCUUUCGGUGGUGUUGCUGCUACCGUAGAUGGGCCAGUAUUGGGCGUCGCCGCGAGAGAACGUUUCCGCCAUUGUAGAGUGACUUGUUGCUAUUGUGCGGUGACAGAGAACAGAAAUAGGAAAGGGGUAAAAAAAAACAAAUGGAGGACAAAAUUUUCAGCUUUGAGGUGGCAUUCAUGCAAACACGUGGAGAUCGGUCUCUGUUUUCAUGUUUGUCUUAAAUCGAGAAUUUGGUUUAAAUCCGGUUUAACUAAAAAUGAAUUGUUGGGAUUGGUUCGGUUUAUUUGCCACCAAAAGUAAAAGGACCAAGUGUCAAUAUAAAGAACACUGAACACACCCUCAAGUUACAAGAAGAGAAAACAGCAAGCAAGAAAGCUACAAUACCGAAUCAGUAGUAGCCAACGCCUCUAAGCUCAGCAGAACUUGGCUGCUGCAUAUCACUAGCUUUACCUAGAAACACAACUCGGCCUGCAUAAAGAAGAAACAAAGAUCAAAAUCUGACUUUUUUCAAAUAAAUCUGAGUGAGUAAAAACGAGAUCUUGAAGUUGAGCCAGUUCAUACCGUUUCUACGAAUGGCUACUUCUCUAAUACGUCGAACCAAACCAGUAACAGGAUCAGUGAAAAUCUUCGUCUCCAGAUAAGUCUUAAACCCUAAACCUAAACCGUAAACCUUAACCCAAACCCUAUAGCAUUUAAGUUCGGGGUUUGGGUUUAGGGUUUACCGUUUGGAUUUUAGGUCUAGAAUUUGGGUUUAGGGUAUAGGUUUUGAGUUUAGGAUUUACGGUUUGGGUUUAGGAUUUACGGUUUGGGUUUAGGGUCUAGGAUUAGAGUUUAGGAUAUAGGGUUUUGGGUUUAGAAUUUACGGUUUGGGUUUAGGAUUUACGGUUUGGGUUUAGGGUCUAGGAUUAGAGUUUAGGGUAUAGGGUUUUGGUUUAGGUGUUUGGAUUUGGGUUUAGAAUUUAGGGUAUAGAGUUUAGAAUUUAAAUUUUAGGAUUUAGGGUUUCGCUGGACGCAUUAGCGUCGUUAAAAUUAAUAUUUUUUUAUUUUUUGUAGCUAUUUUUUAUUUAAUUUAAUAUUUUUUAAUUAAUUAUCUAUGUGGAAAAUUGAUUGGUCAUAAAUGGUGAGGUGAAUUUAAAGGUUCACCCUAGGGGGUGAACUUUAGUUCUGUCCCAAAAAUAUAUACUAGUACAUUUCAGGUGACGAACACGCACGCCAAAAAUCUUAUAAAGCUUAUACAUAACCAGAUAUAUUCAUUUUUAUUAUUUAUUAAUGGAAACAAAAUAACAAAAUGUUAUAGUAGUAUAUUUAUAUUACCAUAUGCAUGAACCAUGUUUAUCCUCCAUACACCGAACAGGUUAUCUUACCCUGAACCAGAUUAUAACGACCGGUUAAGGUUAAGGUUAAGCACCAGGUGCUGCAUCUUUAGCCCUACCGUGGAAAUACCCACCGUACUCUCUAGCAUAAUCUUUGACGUGAGAGGCCGUGUCAUAGAUCCGACCACGUGCAUAAUCCAUUUGAUCCGAUCCAACCGGGUGCCUUCCACGGAAAUAACGAUACGCCCACGAUACGACAGCCAACGUUCCAACAAGAAAACCGGCCACCGAUAAGAACCCGCCAACCCCGAUAAAUACCGGGAUCCAUACCGGACUCGAGAUGAUGAUCAGCGGAAGAAAGACAACGAAGCCUAUCCCGACGGCCGUCACGGUUAGGCCUAGGAGGAAGAGGAGGAUUCCGCCGGAUAUGAAGAGAGCGAGGAGACCAAAGAGCUGUGAGGAGGUUGGUGAAUGAGAUCGGAGAAGGCGGACAAGAGAAGCGUAAGGGCUGUUUCUUUCGGUGGUGUUGCUGCUACCGUAGAUGGGCCAGUAUUGGGCGUCGCCGCGAGAGAACGUUUCCGCCAUUGUAGAGUGACUUGUUGCUA